rnacentral:ncRNA from 2 species
UGAGGUCGGGGGGCGUGGUGAACUGCCGAAGCCAAUGCGGCGGCAGGAGAGGAAGUCCGGUGUGAAUCCGGCGCGGUCCCGCCACUGUCACCGGGGUAGCCAUCCCGGGAGCCAGGAACUCUCACCGCCCAUCUCGUCGAA